rnacentral:lncRNA from 1 species
UCCGCCAUCGCUGAUACAGCCAUGCCGGCGACGAGCACCAUUAGGAGCAGGAAGCUCUGCUACUUCACCAUCUGUCCAUCUUGCCAAGAAGAUCUCACAAUUUGAGAGAAAGACUCGAUGUGUAAGUGUUCGUGGUGGUGUGUGUUAGAAUAGAUAUAGAUCAGUUGUAUAUGCGUGUACGUGCAUGAGAUAAACAUGUAUGAGAUAAGUAUAUGUGUAUACAUGCAUGCGAUACCGGACAUAACAAAUCAACAGUUGUAAUCUCCAGAUAUCUUGUAAGCUCCGUUGGAAGCUAUUUCCAACACAUCUCUAUAUAUGUGCGGCCCGAGCUAAAGGGUUCUACACUUCGUGAAAUUUAU